CGGGGCCAAGAUCAAAAGUUUAGGAAUUUCAAAUUUAGGACAAAAAAGGAAAAUAUUGUAAAACAUGCUUCCUUUAAAAAAAAAGGAAUAUUUUGUUGAUAGUGAGAUUCAAAUCUACAACAUUAGUGUGGAAAGCAUUUCCAUGACUUCUUUCUUGCCACUGAGUCAUCAAUCAAUAUUGUUAGGGAUUCACAAGUUAACAUACAUAUAUAUUUAUUCAAUUUUUUAGUACAAAUACAAGAUCUACGAAAAAGCGAUUGAAUUCGACUGAAUCCAUGAACCCCACCUAGCUCCACCCGUGAUCACAGCCUAUUCAGCAGUUGACAUGUUCUCCUUAUCUAGUGAUUAAUUGGCCACAAAAGAAAAAAAUAAAAUUGGACCACUUUCACCUGCAUGUGAUUCAGCCAAGAGCCUAACACACCACCCCUAUUAAUAUACCUUGGCACAAACGCAUAUUUUUGAACUUAUCUCAUGACUUCCUUAUAUGGUUAACAACACUUGGAUCUCCUAGACUCUACAAACAAAAACGUGAGUUAUAAGUUGUCCAACAUUUUGUGGCCCAAAUACCUCAAGACCCCGGGGUAUUGGUGAGUCAUGGGUCAGACAUGUGAAAAUCGUAGUUCAUGACCUAAAAAGUUCAUGUACUAAAGUUCCCAAGCAUAGAUGACAGAGCACGCUCACAAACAUGUAACCAAUCAUAAAGAAGGGUAUUGUGCUUUCCCAUUACAUGAGUUUGUUCAGUGUACAUGCUAGUAUAUAUUUUCGAGCAUUAUAUAAGUAGAAUAUGUAUACACUCCUAUAAUCGAUAUUGAUGACAGCAACAAUAUUUUAUUAUUUUUUCAAUAAAUAAGAAGCCAAUACUAUAGACAUAUAUUAGUUAGUACAGUAAAGUACGUACUAUUUUGUUACAAGACAAUUAAACAAGGCUGGUCAGGCAUAGCAAAUUAUUAUGUGGUACAAAAAAAAUAGAGAGAACAUGCAAAAUCAGGGCAGCCCACCUGCUGGGAGGAGGAAAAGAUAUUCUCCACAUAUGAGCAGGAAAAUAUAUUGUCUAGGUUUCCGUGCCCACCUGUGUCCUUCCUACGUACAAUCACUACUAAAAAUAACGAAAGAUCGAUCCUGUCUGUCGAAAAAAAAUCUUACCUUAUCAACUUAAAUAUGCCUUCCCUGCGACAACUUAUUUCCAUUAUGCCAGAACUUUGAGGCAAAAACUUGCUGCCCAUUGCUAUGAAUCAUCAAGACCAAGU
rnacentral:lncRNA from 1 species